UCUAUACAGAUGUCAAAGCCUUUUGCAUAGUGUAUACAUAAGCUCGAGAGAAACUUUUAUAAGGCCUCAUUCUAUAUGAAAAUGGGCACUGUUUUUUGUGUACGGUGUCCAGAAAUUUGUUAUUGUGGCUACAUUGAGACACAGGUUAUGCUUCCAUCACAGUAAUCUUAUUACAGUGGUGACAAUGAGACCUGUAACAUUUUUUGCUAGGCUUAAUGAGCGGAGUAAUAAGUACACCUUAUGUCACCUGCUAAAAUAACAAUAACAUUGUUAUUCUUAAUAUUCAAUUUAUAGGGUCCUAAAGUAAAUUGCUUGAAGAAAUUAGUUCCCAAUGACCAUAGGUAAGAUUGUAAUUUUUUCCUUCAAACUCCCUCCUAGUUUACAGGAGACUUAAGCUCCUUUAUAAAAUGUCAGUAUUAAUGUCCUUGCAUUUAUUCACUUAUUACAGUAGCCCAUCCUGGUGGCUUAUUACUACCACAAAAAAAUUGGACAUUAAAAAGGCCGACCGCUAUGCUUAUAGUGUUCACCAGCAUGAUGUUAUGAUGAUGGGCAAAAUGUUCAACUGCUCUGAAUGAGCUGAAUGAAAAAUAGCCAUCUGAACAUCCAUCUACAUAAUAAAUAUGAAAGCUAAGAUAAGCAUUCCCUGAAACACAAACAUUUCCAAAUAGUGCAUUUCCUAUGAGAAUUUUAUGAAUGGAAAUGGAUUAAGUCUUGGUUUAACAUUAGAUUUGUUCCCAAUAUUUAAUUUGAUUGAAAAGAUGCUUAUUCCAAUUAUUUUCAGUUUCAAGCCUGGAACUUUCAAUGUAUGCUAGUUGGGAACUGGUUGUGAAGGUACUUUGGACCCUAAUGAAAUGUAUUUUGAAAAAUUUAGUCCAAUAUGAACAUUAAAAUCUUCAUAAGUGCAGAAUUUUUGAAGUAUGUCCAUAUUCAAGUGUAGAUCAAAGAAGCUCAACUAAAAGGAUUGUGGACUGACUUGAGAUGACAUCCGGAUUGAGCAAGAGAGGGAAUAAGAUGAUUAAGACUCAAACUCAGGAGGAACUAAGGCAGUGGAAGAACUCAGAACAUGUGAAAUUCCUUAAAUAAAAGUUUAUUAACUUUAAAUAAUUAUACCUAUGUUACAAAUAAUAAAAGUCCUUUAUACUUUUUGUAGAAAAUCAGCAUGUAUUUUUGGCUCGAAGUUUCUCUAGUGUUUUCUGUGGAGGGAAUAAAAGUAAAUUUUAGUUUCAA